rnacentral:rRNA from 1 species
ACGGAAGGCAGCAGUGGGGAAUAUUGCACAAUGGGGGAAACCCUGAUGCAGCGACGCCGCGUGAGUGAAGAAGUUAUUCGUAAUGUAAAGCUCUAUCAGCAGGGAAGAAAAUGACGGUACCUGACUAAGAAGCCCCGGCUAACUACGUGCCAGCAGCCGCGGUAAUACGUAGGGGGCAAGCGUUAUCCGGAUUUACUGGGUGUAAAGGGUGCGUAGACGGCUUAGCAAGUCUGAUGUGAAAGGCAGGGGCUCAACUCCUGGACUGCAUUGGAAACUGUUAAGCUGGAGUGCCGGAGAGGUAAGCGGAAUUCCUAGUGUAGCGGUGAAAUGCGUAGAUAUUAGGAGGAACACCAGUGGCGAAGGCGGCUUACUGGACGGUAACUGACGUUGAGGCUCGAAAGCGUGGGGAGCAAACAGGAUUAGAUACCCUGGUA